GACGAACGCUGGCGGCGUGCCUAAUACAUGCAAGUAGAACGCUGAAGGGAGAGCUUGCUCUUCUUGGAUGAGUUGCGAACGGGUGAGUAACGCGUAGGUAACCUGCCUUGUAGCGGGGGAUAACUAUUGGAAACGAUAGCUAAUACCGCAUAACAAUAGGUGACACAUGUCAUUUAUUUGAAAGGGGCAAUUGCUCCACUACAAGAUGGACCUGCGUUGUAUUAGCUAGUAGGUGAGGUAACGGCUCACCUAGGCGACGAUACAUAGCCGACCUGAGAGGGUGAUCGGCCACACUGGGACUGAGACACGGCCCAGACUCCUACGGAAGGCAGCAGUAGGGAAUCUUCGGCAAUGGGGGCAACCCUGACCGAGCAACGCCGCGUGAGUGAAGAAGGUUUUCGGAUCGUAAAGCUCUGUUGUAAGUCAAGAACGAGUGUGAGAGUGGAAAGUUCACACUGUGACGGUAGCUUACCAGAAAGGGACGGCUAACUACGUGCCAGCAGCCGCGGUAAUACGUAGGUCCCGAGCGUUGUCCGGAUUUAUUGGGCGUAAAGCGAGCGCAGGCGGUUUGAUAAGUCUGAAGUUAAAGGCUGUGGCUCAACCAUAGUUCGCUUUGGAAACUGUCAAACUUGAGUGCAGAAGGGGAGAGUGGAAUUCCAUGUGUAGCGGUGAAAUGCGUAGAUAUAUGGAGGAACACCGGUGGCGAAAGCGGCUCUCUGGUCUGUAACUGACGCUGAGGCUCGAAAGCGUGGGGAGCGAACAGGAUUAGAUACCCUGGUAGUCCACGCCGUAAACGAUGAGUGCUAGGUGUUGGAUCCUUUCCGGGAUUCAGUGCCGCAGCUAACGCAUUAAGCACUCCGCCUGGGGAGUACGACCGCAAGGUUGAAACUCAAAGGAAUUGACGGGGGCCCGCACAAGCGGUGGAGCAUGUGGUUUAAUUCGAAGCAACGCGAAGAACCUUACCAGGUCUUGACAUCCCGAUGCUAUUUCUAGAGAUAGAAAGUUACUUCGGUACAUCGGUGACAGGUGGUGCAUGGUUGUCGUCAGCUCGUGUCGUGAGAUGUUGGGUUAAGUCCCGCAACGAGCGCAACCCCUAUUGUUAGUUGCCAUCAUUCAGUUGGGCACUCUAGCGAGACUGCCGGUAAUAAACCGGAGGAAGGUGGGGAUGACGUCAAAUCAUCAUGCCCCUUAUGACCUGGGCUACACACGUGCUACAAUGGUUGGUACAACGAGUUGCGAGUCGGUGACGGCAAGCUAAUCUCUUAAAGCCAAUCUCAGUUCGGAUUGUAGGCUGCAACUCGCCUACAUGAAGUCGGAAUCGCUAGUAAUCGCGGAUCAGCACGCCGCGGUGAAUACGUUCCCGGGCCUUGUACACACCGCCCGUCACGCCACGAGAGUUUGUAACACCCGAAGUCGGUGAGGUAACCUUUUGGAGCCAGCCGCCUAAGGUGGGAUAGAUGAUUGGGGUGAAGUCGUAACAAGGUAGCCGUAUCGGAAGG
rnacentral:rRNA from 1 species